CCAUCAUUAGCAAACUGUCAUUUCAUCUGCCGGACAGUUUGAAUUCAUUUCAUUUUCUCUCCCUUUAACAACAAAGCAACAUUAAUGUUUAACCUUUGUGUCACACCAAGAAAAGCUGGGGGUGUAUUUCUACAAAGACAGACAGUCUCCAACCCUUUAUGGAGCUUUUGAUCUAAAAGAGACAGAAUGCUUCCAAGACUAUAAAGGACACCCUUAGUCAAAUCUUCUACGAAGAGGAUCCCAUUUUACUCACGGAACUGCUCUAGAUGCUCAUCACUGUUGGACUCAGGCAUGGCCGUGAUGGUCACCAAGGGACACGGAUUCCCUCCCAGCGUCUGGCAGAGAACAUCUUGCCGGAAGUAGACCUCUUUGAGGUUGACACUCUUUUCCAGGAUGUCAAGAUGAGUCUGGAGCAGAAAUAAAGCAGAUGAGAAAACCGAGGCUAAGAGAAGUUAAAUAGCUUGCCUGUGGAUACACAGCAAGGAAACACAACACCUAGACUAAAAUCUAGGCCUGUCUGACCUCAAAGCUUUCUUUCUUUGUGCCCAAGACCCUGGAAUUCAGAUGUCCUUG
rnacentral:lncRNA from 1 species